AUGUUGGGCCCGACCGGGUCAGUGUGGUCAGGACCCAGCGGCCCCCUUGAAAAAAAAACAAAUGGAUUGGGAAACCCUAAUUUUGGUCCAGAACCCCUGCUUUCAUCCUUUUCUAUGUUCCUCUUCUUCCUUAAUCUCAACCUUCCUCUCACAGCUUCCUCUCAUCUUAUCUCUCGGCGUUUCUCAGCAUCACCUUUUCCCACAACAUACAUCCAUACUGAACUUCGUUCUCCUCUGCGAAUUAAAUCGCAGUUCAUAUCCCACUCUUAUAACCGAUCUCUCUUCUUUGUUCUGAAUUUUCAUCAACUGAAACCAACAAUACUCCCUCCGCCUCACUUGUCCUUGCGAUUUGAAGCUCUGUCAAAUUCUUCUCAAUCUCCGUUUAAACUGUGA